rnacentral:rRNA from 1 species
AUGCCCCUCAAGUUCUGGGAUGAGGCUUUCCUCACAGCAGUCCACAUCAUAAACAUGCUUCCCAGUCAUGUCAUCAACAAUGAAACACCACUAGAACGACUCUUCCAUGUUAAACCAGACUACAAAUCUCUCCGUGUUUUGGGGUGUACCUGUUGGCCCAAUCUUCGCCCAUACAACACUCGAAAGCUCAUGUUUCGCUCAAAACAGUGUGUCUUCCUAGGCUAUAGCACCCAACAUAAAGGUGUCAAGUGCCUCGAUGUUGCCACUGGUCACGUGUAUAUCUCACGCGACGUUAUCUUUGAUGAAACCAAAUUUCCUUUUGCUGAUCUUCACCCCAACGCUGGUGCCCUUCUUCGCCAAGAGAUUCUUCUUUUUCCUCCUCAUCUCUCCGGUGUUGAUCAAGGGGGAAACAAUGGUGAUGAUCAACUACUGACUAACCCUCUUACUGAUGAUAUGCAUGAGCCUUGUGGUGUUACAGGUGAAAAUAGCGAGGCAAAUGGCGAAAUCAGGGAAGAAAAUGGUGAAGAAAAUCCUCCACCAGCGCCAUAUUUCAUGUGCCGGGAAUCUGGAGACAAAUCCUCCUCGGGAUCCGUUCGCCUGCGCCUGUAG